GAUGAACGCUGGCGGCGUGCUUUAACACAUGCAAGUCGAACGGGAAACAUUUUAUUGAAGCUUCGGCAGAUUUUAGCUUGUUUCCAGUGGCGGACGGGUGAGUAACGCGUGGGUAACCUGCCUCACACUGGGGGAUAACAGUCAGAAAUGACUGCUAAUACCGCAUAAGCGCACGGGACCGCAUGGCACAGUGUGAAAAACUCCGGUGGUAUGGGAUGGACCCGCGUUGGAUUAGCUAGUUGGCAGGGUAAAGGCCUACCAAGGCGACGAUCCAUAGCCGGCCUGAGAGGGUGGACGGCCACAUUGGGACUGAGACACGGCCCAAACUCCUACGGGAGGCAGCAGUGGGGAAUAUUGCACAAUGGGGGAAAACCCUGAUGCAGCGACGCCGCGUGAGCGAAGAAGUAUUUCGGUAUGUAAAGCUCUAUCAGCAGGGAAGAAAAUGA
rnacentral:rRNA from 1 species